UUCCAACCGGGGAGGGUCAUUGGAAACUGGGGAACUUGAGUGCAGAAGAGGAGAGUGGAAUUCCACGUGUAGCGGUGAAAUGCGUAGAGAUGUGGAGGAACACCAGUGGCGAAGGCGACUCUCUGGUCUGUAACUGACGCUGAGGAGCGAAAGCGUGGGGAGCGAACAGGAUUAGAUACCCUGGUAGUCCACGCCGUAAACGAUGAGUGCUAAGUGUUAGGGGGUUUCCGCCCCUUAGUGCUGCAGCUAACGCAUUAAGCACUCCGCCUGGGGAGUACGGUCGCAAGACUGAAACUCAAAGGAAUUGACGGGGGCCCGCACAAGCGGUGGAGCAUGUGGUUUAAUUCGAAGCAACGCGAAGAACCUUACCAGGUCUUGACAUCCUCUGACAAUCCUAGAGAUAGGACGUCCCCUUCGGGGGCAGAGUGACAGGUGGUGCAUGGUCGUCGUCAGCUCGUGUCGUGAGAUGUUGGGUUAAGUCCCGCAACGAGCGCAACCCUUGAUCUUAGUUGCCAGCAUUCAGUUGGGCACUCUAAGGUGACUGCCGGUGACAGACCGGAGGAAGGUGGGGAUGACGUCAAAUCAUCAUGCCCCUUAUGACCUGCGCUACACACGUGCUACAAUGGACAGAACAAAAG
rnacentral:rRNA from 1 species